rnacentral:tRNA from 1 species
GGAGAGAUGGCCGAGUGGCUGAAGGCACGCGCCUGGAAAGUGCGUGUACCGGAAACGGUACCGUGGGUUCGAAUCCCACUCUCUCCGCCA